CCUGCAGGUUCGAGCAGAGCAGCCACUUGCCCAGCCAGUGCGGCAGCAGGGGAGCCAGGUCGGAGUUGGUGCACUCCACCAUGUUGAGCAGGCGCCCAACAUCCUGCGGGGGGAAAUGAGGGUUUCGCGCCUGAAAGCCAAGGUACCCUCGAGUCUUCAAUGCGUAGAACUUGCGCAAGAGUGUUGUUGCAGCCGAGCAGCUUUGCACGAGCAACCAUAUGAGGCUGGUGUCGUGCAACAGCGUCCCGUGCCUGGUUCAAACUGGCCUGGCAGUCCUCUUCCAGUCGCUGAGUGCCUCUGUGAAGCAGAAUGCAAAUUACAGCCGCUGCAUCUAUGCGCAAAUAAUG
rnacentral:lncRNA from 1 species